GUUCAUGGAAAUGAGAAAAAUAACCAGCGCACCACGCUACCCGCAUCUCACUUUUCCUUCUUUGAAAUGGCGUGUGCAUAGCACUCACCCAGAAUAUGCUGCUUGUGCUGGGCCCAUGACAACGCUGGUAGCUCCAAACACGCUGGCUCUAGGGAAACAGAUGAUAUCUUUAAACAGAGUGCCAAGAGACCCUCAGGAAGAGAUUUUGUCUGUCAAAGUCAAGGACUGUACUGUGCAGAAGCAGAAAAGAGACUUUCUAAGUGGUGCUGAUACAGUAAUGAGAGGACUUGUCCUGGAGGCACAGAAAUGACAACACAAAGCAUAAAGGCCCAGAUGGCUACAGAAGAGGAGGAGGAAAAUGGAGGGUCAUCUAUCAUCUCAAUUGGCUGGGGACUGUCAUUCAGGAAGACCUGCUGAGCUGAACUCCUCUGAAGCUGGGGAAAGAAUGGGCAUGCCAAGUGGAAACAGCAGAAGCAAGAUGCCCAUAGAGAGGAGUGGGGAAUGAAGAGGAGAAAACUCCAUUCAGACGGAGAGAGUGCUUCCGAAUUAGUUUGAGAAUUCGUUUUUGUUGUUCUUUCAUUUAUCUGCUUAA